CCUACGGGCGGCUGCAGUGGGGAAUAUUGGACAAUGGGCGAAAGCCUGAUCCAGCCAUGCCGCGUGUGUGAAGAAGGCCUUCGGGUUGUAAAGCACUUUCAGUGGGGAAGAAAGCCUUGGGGCUAAUACCCUCGAGGAAGGACAUCACCCACAGAAGAAGCACCGGCUAACUCCGUGCCAGCAGCCGCGGUAAUACGGAGGGUGCGAGCGUUAAUCGGAAUUACUGGGCGUAAAGCGCGCGUAGGCGGUCUGAUAAGCCGGUUGUGAAAGCCCCGGGCUCAACCUGGGAACGGCAUCCGGAACUGUCAGGCUAGAGUGCAGGCGAGGAAGGUAGAAUUCCCGGUGUAGCGGUGAAAUGCGUAGAGAUCGGGAGGAAUACCAGUGGCGAAGGCGGCCUUCUGGACUGACACUGACGCUGAGGUGCGAAAGCGUGGGUAGCAAACAGGAUUAGAUACCCCAGUAGUC
rnacentral:rRNA from 1 species